CUCCCAUCACCUCCAUCGCAACCUCUCGACGGCAGACUAGGUUUCAUCCCCAUCUCAACCGGCGGCAGCCUAGGGCUUCAUCCCCCACCCCCAAAUCCAUGCCGCUCAGGUUGGAGAUCAAUGUGUGCCUGCUCGACCUCACUGGAUCUCAGUCCCCAUGUCGUCCUUCUACUUCUCGCGUCACUUUGAUUUUGCUCUCUAGUUUGAUUUUGUUUCCAUUGUGGUGAUUAGUGGAAAUUUUCUCAAUGGUCAGAGAGGGUCAAGUUGGUGGACUUGCACCCCACGGAGGCAUGGAUGUUGAGCCUGUACUCGAGGAGUGCCUGCAUCCGGGAUUAUCACACACAGUCAAUUUGUAGGAGAGGGGACGCCAUACAUCAAAGAUGACUAAAGAAGAGGAAGAUGAAGAAUACCUCGAAGAGGAAGAAGAUGCCCUUGCUGGUGCAGGGGGGAACACAUUUAGUUUCACAACCUUCAUGCUCUUAACCCCUCUGAUCCUGGUGCGUGGCAGAUUAGACUCCGAUGGGGAAGUCACUAGCGAGGUGGAUCAAGUUCGUGCUCUUCAGGAAGAAGUCGUCAUCCAGGUCCAGCUCCACCAAGGCCAAGAAUUUAUCGAUAAGAAUGCUGUUACGAUUUCAAGUGUGGCUCUACAUAUGCAUCUCCAGCUAUGGAGAAGGAGCCCACGUUCUCUGAGAGCUCUCCAGUGAUCUCAGAGCUUGUGCUUGUUAGCGCCCAUAACAACGAGAUCAUGCGGGAGGUGGCAAAGGGUGAAAAUUCUAGCGUGCAAGAAGUGCUAGUGACUGAUGUCAGUCAAGACUUGGAGAAGCAGGUAGUGUGGGGCUGAUACGUCCAAUAAUGCGCUAGUGACUGAUGUCAGUCAAGACUUGGAGAAGCAGGCAGUGUGGGGCUGAUACAUCCAAUGAUGCUGAGAGGGUGAGUGAACAGCGAGCGGUCAUGAUGGCACAAGCUACCUUCCCUUAUUAUCUGAUGAUUUUGGAUUCAAGCUGAAAGAAGAGGCUAUGCUGAAUAAAGUACUAAAGGAGACAGUCUUGUCAAAGGUAGUUGCCAUUGAUAAAUUGCAAUCUGGUCUGGCAUCUUCACUUCGCAUCCAAGAUGUUAUGAGAAAUGAGAUCCAAAGAGUCCAGGAUGAACUUUCUUGCAUAACCCACAAAGCUAAGCAGUUGGAGCUUCAGGUAUCCAAGAUGGAUGAGUCAAUCGAUGAGAUCCAAUAGGAUUUCUAGGAAUCUACGAAGGAGCUGGCUGCUCUUCGUGGAACACUGAAAACGGUGAUUGAAGACAGGGACCUGUCGUGGCAGGAGGUGAAGUAGCUGAGAAGAAACAUCAGCAUCAUGCUAGAACGAGGUUGUGUCGCUGAAGAAGAUCGAAGCCUUGGACAAAGACAUACUUGUCAAGGAGGGAGAGAUCACGAUAUUGCAGGACAACAUCGACAAGCCGUUCAAUAUCAUCUGCAGCCCAAGUUCGAUGCAGGAGUUCGGCAUGGGGUGAAGAUGGCUGCUAUUUUGUUGACAUGGAAGAAAUGGUGGCAGCACCAGCUUAGUAUGGACAACAACUGAAAUCUCCUACAGAAGUUGUUUCUAAUGUGCUAUUGAGCUCCAUUGUGUUUUGGCCUACGCAAUCUUGUUCUCCAGUCUGCCUCCAAGAAAAGCUCUAUAGUCCCAUAGUUUCUGCUAAGGUUCAACAACUUCAGGAUCAAUUAUAGGCUGAGAAGCAAGAAAAAAUGGACUUCGUGAUGAAGCGGAAACCAUUGAUAGUAUGAAGAGGUUGAUGGAAGAAAAUAACAACCUUCUUCGUCAACUAUAAAGCUUCAAUUGAAGAAAAGUGCCUCCAUCUUAAGUUUGGUUGACUACUAUAGGACAUGCAGCCUUGUGGUAGCUAUAGUAGUAGUAGAUAUUUAUAGUUGCUCUAGAUUUGAAGUUAUAGGAUUAUUUUUAAUUAUGUUUAAUGUUUAAUAAUUUGAGUUGAAGUUAUAAGAUUUGCUUUGAAUUUUAAGUUAAAGGAUUUGAGAUAUAUGGUUUGGAGUUAUAUGAUUAUUUGAUGGAUGGAAUAUUUGUGUAC